rnacentral:lncRNA from 1 species
GUGGUGAAAAGCAACGAAAGAAUAACUGGUGAGGGUGUGAAAGAAGAGCCCCAGUUCUUAUCUUCCUCCAGGCCCAUGGCAGUCUCAUUUCAGCUGUGAGGCAUUUAACUCUCCCAAUUUUGAAAAGCCUUCUUGGAUAAUUUUAGCAUUCCCAAAACUUGCUGAUAAUACCCUAAGCUAAGGGAAAAGGCGUACCAUCAGCAGCCCCCCGGCUGCCCUAUCAAUGGCUUGGAAAAUCUAUUAAGACGAAUAUUCUCACAACCCAAUUGCCAACCCGGAACGAUCAGACUGGUCUCUGUAUUCCACGGUGCAGAUGGAGUUUGUAAGAACGGGAAGGCCGGCUCUACUUCGGUGAGCGAUAACACAGCUUUUCUGGUCAAACAGCUUCUGGAAAACACCACCUGAUCGACGGGCGGGUACAGACAGACAUUGGGAAACGACUUACCUCAACGUGAAGCGAUCUUCAGUGGAAUUUCUGGAGAUGGAAACAGGAAAAGUCAGCACGUCUCCUUUCCUCACGGUCUUUGGUAUAUAGUGGAUGGCCACGCUGUUGUCCAGACGCAGUUCUCUCAGGGAGGGUUUCCUGUGUGUCUGAUAAAGGAAGAUGCUCCCGAUCCUCUGCAAGGGGGGCCCGGACUCAUCGAUGUCACUGUGGCCUGUCCGGAUCCCAUUGCUUCUCCUCGCGUCUUCCCUGACGCAGUCCCCUCUCUCACCCCCUGGGUGCACGGUGUAGUAGAGCUCCACGGGGGUCCCCUCCG